rnacentral:rRNA from 1 species
AGUGAACGCUGGCGGUAGGCCUAAUACAUGCAAGUCGAACGGCAGCACAGUAAGAUUUUGCCCCUACGGGUGGCGAGUGGCGGACGGGUGAGGAAUACAUCGGAAUCUACUUUUUCGUGGGGGACAACGUAAGGAAACUUAUGCUAAUACCGCAUAUGACGUACGGGUGAAAGCAGGGGAUCUUCGGACCUUUCGUGACUGAAUGAGCCGAUGUCGGAUUAGCUAGUUGGCGGGGUAAAGGCCCACCAAGGCGACGAUCCGUAGCUGGUCUGAGAGGAUGAUCGGCCACACUGGAACUGAGACACGGUCCAGACUCCUACGGGAGGCAGCAGUAGGGAAUAUUCGACAAUGGGCGCAAGCCUGAUCCAGCCAUACCGCGUGAGUGAAGAAGGCCUUCGGGUUGUAAAGCCCUUUUGUUGGGAAAGAAAAGCAGCGGGUUAAUACCCCGCUGUUCUGACGGUACCCAAAGAGUAAGCACCGGCUAACUUCGUG